rnacentral:RNase_P_RNA from 1 species
GUAGGGAGACAUGCAAUCGCGCUAUUAUGGCGAGGAAAGUCCGGACUCCAUGGAACAGUGUGCUUCGUAACUCGAAGGCAGUCUUUGACUGACGGAAAGUGCAGCAGAAAGUAAACCGCCUUAUUUAUUUAAGGUAAGGGUGAAACGGCGAGGUAAGAGCUCGCCAGCAUCUUAAGUGAUUAAGAUGGCUAGGUAAACCCCACACGGAGCAAAGCUAUGUAGAAGAGUAUUCUUGUUUUCAAGAGUGAUAGUUCCAUCACCAUUUAUGAUGCUCUCGGGUAAGCUGCUAAAGUUUUGCGGCGACGUAAAACAAAGAUAAAUGAUUGCAACGAUGUAUUUCGAACAGAAUCCGGCUUAUAGUCUCCCAUUUUUU